CCAGACUCCUACGGGAGGCAGCAGUGAGGAAUAUUGGUCAAUGGUCGGGAGACUGAACCAGCCAAGCCGCGUGAGGGAGGAAGGUACAGAGUAUCGUAAACCUUUUUUGUCAGGGAACAAAGGCGGGGACGUGUCCCCGGAUGAGUGUACCUGAAGAAAAAGCAUCGGCUAACUCCGUGCCAGCAGCCGCGGUAAUACGGAGGAUGCGAGCGUUAUCCGGAUUUAUUGGGUUUAAAGGGUGCGUAGGCGGACAGUCAAGUCAGCGGUAAAAAUGCGGUGCUCAACGCCGUACAGCCGUUGAAACUGGCAGUCUUGAGUGGGCGAGAAGUAUGCGGAAUGCGUGGUGUAGCGGUGAAAUGCAUAGAUAUCACGCAGAACUCCGAUUGCGAAGGCAGCCUACUAAACUGCCACUGACAUUGAUGCUCGAAAGUGUGGGUAUCAAACAGGAUUAGAUACCCGGGUA
rnacentral:rRNA from 1 species